AAUUGGAAAAAGCAAGACAAAGUUUAGCACAGAACUAACAUCUAUACAUUUUCUGCUUAUUGUUUGGGGUCCGUCAGAAACCUAGCCUUCAUUCGGACGAUCGUAAACAGCCCCCAGGAAGAAGAAACCUAAACUUAUCUGCAUUCUCUAUCAAAUAUGCAGGAAGAUGAACUGCAGAAGCUGAAUGAGGUAUUGGACCCAUCUUCUUAAUCAACUCCUGAAAUGUGUACUCUUCUGGGAGCAUAUCAAACAGAUCAUCUCCACUGCAAAUGAGUUUCUGAAUCCUAGAGUAAUUUAGAUAAUCUUUUCCUCUCACUCUAUCUGCAUGACUAUAAGCAGUCAUCUUAAACACAAUUUCCUUAAGUCGUUGAAAGCAAAAGCUACAAUGCCAUCCAGAAUCAGAAAAGAUAAGGUCAGUCUGACGUGAAUGCCGGUAUCUGGUCCAAGGGCUAUAAAUGUGGACUGUGGCAUGCCAGCUGCUGUAAUCUACUGGGAAUUCAAAUGAGUAUAUGUAGUGCCUUAGCUCUAGAUGCAAGACUGGUGGUAUUCCAUCACACCAUUGUGGAAGUUUCACAGUGUAAGGGCUUGGAAUCUUAUCAGUGUCUGACAUAAUAAGCAAGUCACCAUUUGAGAUCCCUGCACGGAGAAGCAAACUAUUCACUGCUGCCCGCUGCUCUGACUAAAGUACAAAGGGAUCUUCAUGUGGCCGAUGGAUAGCAGUACGACCUGGAAAUACACCAUGGAUAACCUUGUCCUCAGCAAAGGCAAACUGCCCCUGGUUUGAGGCAAAGAAGAGGGGUUUAGGAAUGCCUGUGAAAGUGGUGUUGAACGAGGAUUACAAAUUUAGUGAUGUAGGGAUGAAGCUUACGCCAUCUGAUCUCAAGAAUGUCUAGCUCAUUGCUGCAGAUGAUGCCAUCGAAGACACGACGAGGUUCGGUGCGGAGGGACCAGCAAUGAAGGUUGCAAAGAUGCUCCAUUGAAACAUUCUCUGCAUAAUAGUGAGGCAGGCGCUUGAAGGGAGGAGGGGGAUUGUCCCAAAGUGGGCGCAAAAAAUAGGAGAUUUUCUGGGCAUAUGUGAAGAUUCCAAUAACACAAAUUGGAAAAAGUACCAGGAGUAUAAUAAAAAGAAGCCUCCAAGGUGCUCUUUUGGAGGUUAAGCGGAGAGGUCGAGGGGCCAUGCUUUGAAGUAGAUGGAACCCGAGGUAGAGUUACUGACAUAUUAGUCCCAAUAUGAUUACCCCGAGAAUCAUGGCUCUACUUGUACUAAUCACCUGCAAAACAUUCAGUAGUUAACAAAGACAACAAUAAUUAAAAAACUGUUGUCUUUUUAUGAAAAACAUAAAAAUUGAAUAUAAGGGCUUCAGGAUGUGUCGCUAAGUAUAUCCUACUGAGGAAUUAAACGAUAUUUAGGUUCAAAUGGAUCAAAAGUUGAGAAAAAAAAAUUUUCUACUUCUAUAAUUCCCAAGGAGGAAAGAGAAAAAGUUAAAUGACAAGCCAGGAAUGGUACAUAACUGCCUACAACUAAACAAAAUUACAAACUAAAGAGGCAAGCUCAGCAGCACAACAUAAGAACUCCAAGUGAAUUGCCAAGAUGUAUAGAAAUUAGAAAUAUUUGAUAAACAAACACACACGAGGAUCCUUCUUAAACAUGAAGGGUCAUAACUGACAUCAAAAUCCCAGUUCAAAAGCUCCACAGAGAAUAAUCUAGCCUUAGACAUCAUAGAAAAGAUCUCAAAUGUAUGGCACUGAGAAAACACAAUCACCACAACUUUGAAAUUUCUUUGGAUUUUUACAGGGCAUGCUAUAGAAAGUCAAGGAAAUUGGCCUGUAAAAUUAAUUAAAAAAAAAAUGGAAGAAACAAAUGGCUGAUGCAAGGACUAACAUGUGAGCAAAUAACUGUAAAGUGGAAGAAAGACAUGAAAAUUCUGAGGAAAUCAAUCAUAUCUCUUUAUGAUAGUGAGAAGGAGAUGAUCACUAAGUCAAUUCAAAUGAUAAACACUUCACAAUUCAUGCAAGUGCAUUUCCUCAAAUAAUUUGGUGCAGAAGCAGAAACUAGCAUACACAUCUCAAGAAUAAUGUUACUUCCACCAAAGAAAAACACAUUGAUGAAGAUAAUAAAUAUAUAACAGUUACUUAAAAAUCAUACAGAAAAUAGGAAUGUGAAAUACUGUAUUUGACCUGGGUAUGUACAUAUUCAAUACUAUAUUUGAAUAUCCAUAGCACCAUUUGGUGAUAAAAUCAUUACAAUCGGCUAUGCAAGGGGCCAACUCUCUUGGUUUUUCAAGUUUUAGGCUAAGCAACCAAGAAGCUGCUAAGUAUAAAAGAUAUGCAUGAUAUAUGCAUUGUCAUAAUGUCAUUAAUGCUACAAUCAAUCAGUAGUCAAAAUGCAUCCUUAAGCAACUUAUGUGAAUUGUCCUAUAAAAAACAACAUGUAAUAAGCACAAAUGCAUCAAGCAGGAACAGAGAAGAAUUUGUUACUGAAAUAAACCUGGUCAUGAAAAAACAGCUCAGAGCUGAUAGCAAAAGAAGGUUAUCCUCGUGAUAGAUAAUCUACAUACAGGAAUCUUAGAGGACAACCAAUUAUGUCACCAUUGGCUGAUAGACCCAUGGUUCCUGUUACCCCAGCAGUUCCUAUACAUAAAGUAUUAACGACUAUCAAGUUCAAACAACCUGAACGUAGUUUGAUUCAUGACCACUAAAUAAACCAAAUUCUCUUCUCACAAUCCAGGGAAUGAUCCAACGAAUAGAAUAUAAUUCCGGAAAAGAAAAAGAAUCUUGUUAGACCACUCACAAUGAUAAUAAUUCAUGAGUAGGAAAAAGAAAAACUUUGCACAUGCUUGAAAUGGGUGUCAACAAAGGGAAGGAAAUAAUCUAUUGACAACAAUAUUUUGUUGAAUAAGGAAACUAUGUUUAAAUAAAUGAACAUAUGCCAAAUAAAAAAGCCCAUUUCAUAAUGGAUCCUAGUGUCUAUAGUAAUAUAAAAUUUCUUUGAAUAGGUAAGAAACAUGUGUGAUAGAAUAAUACGGAGUUGACUAUGAAGCUGUUACAUUAAUUGGCAGUUCAAAUAAAUAAAUAAAAAAUGCAUUAAUUGGAGCUUCACAAUGCUAACGAAGAAUGUUGGAAUCUAUUUAAUUGAAAUCUAUUAGUUACGACUGAGAGUAUACAUAACAAGCAAUAUCAUUAAAAAUUCAAAAUAAGUGGAAAAUAAAUGUCAAUAUUUAAAUACUAAAACAAACAGCAACCCGUAUUAUUUUUUUUACUUUCCAAGAAAAGGCAAAAGAACAAAACUUUAUCACUCCAAAUCAUUUACAAGAAAAAAUUUUUUGAAUCCCAUUUUCUUUCUUUUCUUCUUCCAUAGCUGAAAUUCCGUAUGUAAGAUCAAAACCCCGAUUACUUGCCUUAAAAAGAAGAAAUUAAGCUCAAAAAUUCAAAACACCCAUAAUUACGGCAAAAAAGGGUUAUUUCUAGAACACAAAUUGAUUUCAAAGCAAUUAAAACGACAGAAGAAAACGAAUAAGACGGCAAGA
rnacentral:misc_RNA from 1 species